CAAGAAUCCAUUUCAGUUUGCCAUCGAGCCACUCUGAGACUUGCUCAUCCGUCGCUCAACAGGUUGAACAACCAUGUCCAGGCUUCUAAAAGUUACCCUGACUCUGGCCAUGUGUCUGCUCAUCUUAGCCAUGCUGAUGCCCUGUGCCGAUGCCUGUACCAUAGCGCCCCCGACCAUCCAUGUACAGCUGCCCGGCAACGAACUUGUCCAGAACUUAGUUUCGGCGGCGGCUUCGCAAGGAGAAACCUUGAUGAAUGAUGUCUGAUAACAUUUAAAGCCACAAAGAGAUGACACCGUUAAAAUAUUCAAAUUUUGAAAAUAAAGUCCUCCAUGGACAAA